CAUUUAAUUUUAAGAUUCAAUAAAAUAACUGCAAGAUAUAUUAUUGAUCUUGUGAGAGAAGACGUCACCUCCUCUACCAACAGAGGUGGUGCAAUUCCACCUGAUCUAAUUGUAUUGACAGGGCUUCGAUAUCUUGCCGCAGGUUCAUAUCAGAAGGAUGUUGGUGAUUGUCACAACAUUUCCCAACAAUCGGUAAGUAAUUGUGUAAGGAAAUUUGUGCGAGCUUUGGCAUCAAAAGCAAGGGAUUUCAUUAAGUUCCCCAGUGAGGCCACGGAAAUCCGGUCGGUGAAAAGAAAGUUUUUUGAUGUUGCUGGUUCUCCACAAUGUGUGGGUGCUAUCGAUUGCACCCACAUCAAAAUAAAGAAUCCUGGGCAAGAAUUUGGAGGACGACACAGAUGUCGAAAAAACUUUUACUCCAUCAAUGUUCAGAAACCAUCUACAACUAAAAUUUAGCUGACUAGUUGACGAUUCGGAAACUUUACAAGCAUAGUUUAUGGUUCAGAAUACGGUGUGUAGUGCUCAAAACAAUGCCAGUCCUUGGAAACAGAACCGGUAUUCCCUUCUUCGAUUAUGACAGCAGCUUAAAUGGUAAAUUCUUAUUAUGAAACCUGCCUCACGGAAGCCUGGUACGCCACUUAUAGUUUGCACAUGGCUAGAGCUGCUGCGUUAGCCGAUCUGGAGUGACACUAUUGCCAAAUAAUCGUGCGUUACCUUCUAAAUGGCAUUAAUGAGCACAACUUUUUCUCUACCGCCAUACUAACACAAUACACAGGCGUCAUCCUGAAUCUAGAAAAAGACUGAACCAACAUAUAAAAGUAUUUUGUAUCAGAUUUUGGCCGGUUUAUUUUCCAAAAAUACAGAAAAUAAAGUGCAAGGAAAGACCACCAUGACCAAGGUAUCAGUCACACGUCUCAGUGCCUCACUUUGCCCAAACUAAUAGUUCAGCGUCAUACACAACUUCACAACAUUCUACAAAGUCCCACCAAUCUAACCAUCACCAAUCACAAAUAGUGCAACACGGUGGCACGCUACCAGCCCGACAUCGACAGCCCAAUGGGGACUAACAGCAAGGAUAUCACAUCUCGGCUACACAGGUUCAACAAUGUGCGAACAAACCCGAAAUCUGGGAACAAUUUUACAACCAAAUCAAUUAGUGGUUAUGGUUUUGGCUAUGCUACAAAAAAGCACAACAUAGACAUACGAUUCUGCCCCGUACACUGAUGCUGUGAACUAUGCUCUUCCACCGUCGUAAUGUGUUGAAAAAUUCACCACAAUUACAACGACUAUAACAACGACCAAAUCAUAAGAGGAGUCCAUAGCUCAUAGUACCAUGCGGUGAUUCGGAUGUCACAGUCUGAGACAAUAGAAAAACUCAACAAAAAAUCGUGCCAACAUGACUUGCAUCGCGAGUAGGUACUAUCCAAAUGACCUUCUUUGAACAUUUUCUACAGGUUGUCAUGGAUUUGUUGUCCUUCGCACAUUACUUUUUGUUCAAUACAUCAUCGGGCGACGUGGUGGUGAGCUGCCAUCUGUCAAAAAUAAUUUUACUCUAUUGUAUUUUUAUUUUGCAAUAGGUCAGGGUAUAGCAAAAGUGCAAGACUAUUGUAAAAUUUUAAUCCGUAUAUUUUGUUGUUGUAGUGUUGUAAGAUUUUACACUUUUGCACUUUUGCAAUGAUACAAGACCAGUUGCAUCGGAUCGUGAAUACCCCUUUUAUUUUUACGCCAUAACUACAAUGAUCUUAAAGCCUGGUACGCUGCUCGCGCUAAAU